rnacentral:lncRNA from 1 species
UAAUUCAUUCAAAUAAGGGUCCUAAGGUAAGACAUUUGAUUUGGUUAGCUACAACUUGGUGUAUUUGGAGGCUAAGGAAUAAUAUUGUUUUUAGCGGGGAAGGAGUACCUAAUGUUGAUCAGUUAAUUGACCAAAUCAAAUUCAUUUCUUGGCUUUGGUUUAUAGGUCGCUCGGGUAGAUAUAGUGACUUUGUGUUUACAGAUUGGCUCACACAACCUUUAGAGUGUCUUAAAAAACUCUAAGGGCCCUUUUGUUGUAUUGUAAGAUUUUGAGUACUCCUUGUACUACUUGUUAAUACAAGUUUUGCUUAU